rnacentral:lncRNA from 8 species
GUCAUGUUUUUCUGCCAUGGCCAAAUCAUUGAAACCAAGCCCAAACUCUUAACCAAUACUCUUCCUCUUAAGGAUGAGUAAAAGGACCCACCAUUUGCUUUUGAAUGGCACUGGAGGCGGAGAGAUGACUUUGGUAAGUAAUAAAGCAUUUGUUAGGAAUAUCUUACAGUAAACAACAUUUUCAACUUCAUCUCUACAUAACCGUUAGUCUUUAAUUGUAUUUGUUUAUUGGGAUCCCCAUGAUCUGUUACAAAGCAGCAGCUACUCUUCAGGGCCACAUGCCUGUCAUUACAUUUUCCUCAUAGGACAGGAAGAGACUUGUAUCUUGCCCUGACAAAUGAGGCCUAUGAGGAGUUCUGACCUGCUAUGUCGGAACUUGACAUGUUGCGCCGUCUGGCCCCAGAAACUGACGAUGGAACCCAGUGCCCGCUCUGUCCCAAGAGAGCGGGCGUGUGAAGAGAAGCAGUGCAUUGAGGAUGAUGUCUUCACUGCCAAGACGUUCUACUCACAUGAGCAGGAACUGAUUGUGGAGGCCUUACAACAUUACACAGAGCAAGAUGGAUUUUGUCUUGGGGCAAGAGCUGUCCUUGCUGGAAAGCUUGAUGAGCUCCAGCAUGCAGAAGGACAAUGUGAAUCUUGCAGAGGGGCUUUUAUUGAGGGCAAUGGCAGAAACUUUGAAGUGGAGGACAUCAAGGAAGUGGAUGAGGAUGAUGACGAUUAUGAUGGUGAUGACGACAGCGGUGGUGAUAUUGAUGGAGGAAUAGUUUAUUUAUGUCAUUGUAUUCCUGCCCUUUGUUUACAAUUGUAUGUUUUAUUGCUAUUUUGUACUUAAAAGAAGCACAUUUCUAUUUAAUUGUUAGACGUGAUACAGGCCAUUGUUGCAUGUAAUCCCAUGGUGAGAAGAACCUGAUGUGAGCCUUGUAUACCCCAACCUGAAUCUAAUGGAAUAGACAGGUUUGCUUCCUCUUCAAAUUAGUCUUUUUAUUGACCUGUUAGCUGUGGAGUUUGUAAAUAUCAAUUUAGAUUAUUUUGUAAAUAUUGUCAUUUGAAUAUCUAGAUCACCAUUGUCAUCUUUAAAUAAAAUAACUUCUGCACCUGAUCCUGCCUGGCUCCCGCAACAUUUUAACGGUCCAAAAAUGGGUUUAGCAACUAAAGAUUCUAGCUUUAAGGGUUAAGUAUGUAGCCUACAGAGAAACCAAUUUAGAGAUCAAGCCUUGUAGACUCGUAAUUUCUGAUAAAUUGACUUUGCUGGAGAGGGGAGACUCGAGGCCAUGGUGUAGUCGAACUGGCACAUUUAAUAAAUCAUUAUUCUAAACAAACCACAAAAGGGUUAGAACUACAAUUUCUGCGCCAUUUCCUGUCAUCGCCACUGGACGCGAUGCAACGUGAAACAGGGAGUUGUAGUUCUUCACAGAAAGCGCAGAGCGUUUUCGAACGAUUACAGUUCCUAAGCACUGGAACAUUUUUGCCGUUUUUGUUUUGGAAUCACAGUCAUGAAACACCCCUUAAACAUAUUACACAAUGUUCUCACUACAAUUCAGGAUUCUUACAGCGGCUAACUUUAUUUUUAAUAAAUAGGUAUAGGCUUUUAGCUAGGGUUGAAUAUACUCCUCAGUAAACUUGGGAAACAGCUCGAUUGUACUACUAGAAGCGUGUCAUGUUAAUAAGAAUAAGAAUAAUAAGAAUAAGCACAUAUUUAAGAAUGAUCAGAUGGUUUAUGUCCACAUGCCAAGGCUUUGGGCGAGAGAUUAAAACGUUUUCACUAUCUGAACGCCUGAAACACUACAUGUGCUAGGUUUGAAUAUAACGUUACUCAACAUAUAGGCAAGGCUACACAUAUUCUUACAGCAUACAUGUUGAAAUUGAAAGGAACUGUUCCCGCUUUCCCGGAGACUGCAUUCACGGUAAAUGCUGCAUAUGUCGACUUAAGUCUGAAAUUACCUUUACAUUUCUAUCGCCAAUGUCUCAGCUGUGAAUCUUUCGGAAUUUUCUGAUUAAUCAAUUCUUGUUGCUCCAUCGUUCUUUCGUUUGAAUCACAGCUACGUUUUCGUAUAUAACGUCGGGUUGUUUUAAAUAAUGUAGGUAACAAAUAGGCUAACAACUGACAUUACAGAAGCCAGAAGAGUUGUGAACUACAAAUAUGGCGCAAUUUUGUAGUUUUCUGCCAAACUAGCUCAGAUGAUCUUCUUUAUCUAUAUCUGCACCAAUAUCGUUACAAUUGACGUCUAUCAUGACAUGUAAAUGCAUGAAUGCCUAAAUAAAGCUGUACUAAAUCAGAA